GCCACUCAGAAGACAUAUAUUUAAGGAAUUUCUUCAUAUUUAAGCAUUGCAGUGUCCAAAGUCUUUUAGGAGAUCAAUCGAUAAUGCAUUGGAAACCUCUUCUGGUUGUUUUGUUGAUCUUCAUUAUAAAUGAAGGUGCAACAAUCUCAGAAUACCAACCUCGACCUAGAAUCUUCCCAUGUGCGCCACUGAUAAGUUGCCAUACGAUUGAAAGGACUGAUGAAAGAGGAAUGCAGACCCUCUGGGGAAUUCUACAUAGAUCAAGAAAUGGACAGAUACCACAUCGGAGCGUUCCUCAAAUUUGAUCCGUCUAGAUACAUGUACAUAUGAGGACUAGAAAUUUUACAUGCUUAGGAAUUAAACAUAUAAGAAAGAUUCAA